AUUGAACGCUGGCGGCAGGCCCAACACAUGCAAGUCGAACGAGUGGCGGACGGGUGAGUAAUGUCUGGGAAACUGCCCGAUGGAGGGGGAUAACUACUGGAAACGGUAGCUAAUACCGCAUACCAUCAGAUGUGCCCAGAUGGGAUUAGCUAGUAGGUGGGGUAAUGGCCCACCUAGGCGACGAUCCCUAGCUGGGCUGAGAGGAUGACCAGCAACACUGGAACUAGGACACGGUCCAGAAUCCAACGGGAGGCAGCAGUGGGGAAUAUUGCACAAUGGGCGCAAGCCUGAUGCAGCCAUGCCGCGUGUAUGAAGAAGGCCUUCGGGUUGUAAAGUACUUUCAGCGAGGAGGCGUUACCCGUAGGAGAAGCACCGGCUAACUCCGUGCCAGCAGCCGCGGUAAUUC
rnacentral:rRNA from 1 species